rnacentral:rRNA from 1 species
GCUUGCUCUUAUGAAGUUAGCGGCGGACGGGUGAGUAACACGUGGGUAACCUGCCCAUAAGACUGGGAUAACUCCGGGAAACCGGGGCUAAUACCGGAUAACAUUUUGAACUGCAUGGUUCGAAAUUGAAAGGCGGCUUCGGCUGUCACUUAUGGAUGGACCCGCGUCGCAUUAGCUAGUUGGUGAGGUAACGGCUCACCAAGGCAACGAUGCGUAGCCGACCUGAGAGGGUGAUCGGCCACACUGGGACUGAGACACGGCCCAGACUCCUACGGGAGGCAGCAGUAGGGAAUCUUCCGCAAUGGACGAAAGUCUGACGGAGCAACGCCGCGUGAGUGAUGAAGGCUUUCGGGUCGUAAAACUCUGUUGUUAGGGAAGAACAAGUGCUAGUUGAAUAAGCUGGCACCUUGACGGUACCUAACCAGAAAGCCACGGCUAACUACGUGCCAGCAGCCGCGGUAAUACGUAGGUGGCAAGCGUUAUCCGGAAUUAUUGGGCGUAAAGCGCGCGCAGGUGGUUUCUUAAGUCUGAUGUGA